GCACAAUACAUACAUGGAGAGAUAGCUAAGGGCCAAUGGAUGGAGUCAUGGAGGCACAGGGAGCUGUGCAUGUAUUUAAACAGUCUCUCUUCUUUUCCCAUCUGGUUUGGUAGCAAAUAAGCAGUACAUUCUUCAGUUUUAAAAUGAUCUCUAUGCUGGUACGGCAAAAAUGAGUACAACGGGUCAAAAUGGAAUGCAGGAAUGGUAUAUUUUUUAUGCCGAGGCAUUUUCUGUAUGGCUUUCUGCGCUUCCCAGUUUGCGGGGCAAGAAAUUAAUAUUGUAAGGGAUUUGUAUAUAUGGAUUUUAUAUUGGUGAAGCAAUGCAAAUAAUAAACUAGCCAAGGACUGUGGGAUACUCUGCUUGAUUAUAAGUUUCAACAAUCACUUUCCAAAGGGUUCUGUUUCAAAAGCUCAAACAUUUCCCUUCACCUUGUGGAUCUGAUAAUAGCAUUUCCUUGUUUUUCAGCUGGAUGAUAAGGUUCUGCGUGAAGUCUACCAAGAUUCUGGACCAGAGGACUUGACUUUGGAGAUGGAAGAGAUAUAUAUUUAGCAGAAGAGCUGAAGCAUAACAAGGGCUAUU
rnacentral:misc_RNA from 1 species